GCCGGUGCCCAGCAUCCCGCUGCUUCUCUUUAGGAAGUAUGGUCUUGCUGAACUGCAUCACAGCUCUUCUCCUGUCCUCUGAAGCAGUGCAGCAGGGUUUGCUGCUGGCUCAUGUGUACCACGUCUGACGUGGUGGGAACAGUCACCUUCCUCUGCAGCUUGAAUCCUGUCCCAUAAACUAUAAAAAGGUACAGGAUGAAACUGCUACGUGUCAUUUGCUUCAACAAAAUAAUUCAAACUAUGUCACAAGUAUGCAAAAAAAAAAAAAAAAGACAUUUAAGGAAACAAAGUCUUUUUUGGUCUGUUUUUAAAAUAACCUGUGGUAUCCCUAAACUAUGAUCUAAGCAGGAGGAGUAGGAUAUUUGGUCUUUUGUACCUGUGCUAUUUUUCUGCAUUUUCUGCUUUCUAAAGGCCAGAAGCCUUUCAGCACUCCUUCAGUCGAGUAAAGUACUGCUUUUGUAGCACCCACCCUGCCAUGGAUAGAGUGGGAGUCUAUUACUUAAAGAAUAUGAAGUAACGCAGUCAGCUUAAUCUUACUCCUAAUAUGUUUUACUUCAUAUUGUAAUUAGUCUAAAGCAUACACUUCAGAUUUUUUUUUUUUUUUUGUCAUUGCAAUAUUUUGUUUUGGGCGUUUUAAUGCUCACCUUCAGUUACCUUACUUGCCUAUUCCAAUUUUAUAGUCUUCCCAGUCACCCUCCAGUCCACUGUUGUUCAUUCCCAGUAAUGAACUGGAGGUCGCCUUGAUUUCAGAAAUCAGUUUUGGCCAAAAGUCCUGAAGGCUGAUUUUAGAAGACUUUGACUGAAAAUAUUAUUAAUCAUUUCGAUUCAUUGUGUACAUUUAAUGUCAGUGUUUAGUUACAGAAGUAUAUUAGCUGAAUGAUUUUAUACUUCUAAAACUUACAGGAGUUUCAAUAUCAAAACUCUAUUUUUCUGUCAGCGAAUGUUAAUAGGUCACCAGCCUAAUUAGGGCUGAGCUUGCACUAAUUUCAGAUGUUACAGUGAGGGUGAAGAUCUCACUUUACCUGCACCUGAAAACUGUGACGUGGGCAUGAGUUCAACUGGAAGAAAGCUGCUCCCGGCCACAGCCCAGCUUUUCCUGCUCCAUAGCUAGUAACAAGCUUUUAUAUUAGAAUUUGGACUAGGUUUGCUUGGACCAGGUGAGUUUAGUGGUCUUUUCCAACCUUUAUGAUCCUAUGAAUUUGAUGAGGGGCUGUACUCGGUUUAUCACCACGCUUCUACAAAGACUGUAACCUGUAGCCUAGCUUUGAUAUCCCCUACAUACUCAAAUUGUUUGGGUCUUCUUCUGUGGUUGGUUCUUGCUUUUAUGCAGUGAAGUGCAUUCCUUCUGCCACCUCUUGUGCACACCCAAUCCCUUUGAUUUACCUUCCAUAACCAUCUCUUUUUGGCCUGAAGCUUAGACCCUUGUCCUUUUGCAAGCAGCUGGCUGUGCUGAAUGCAUCCUGCAGCAUCUGCUGAACAUUCCGUCCCAGCUGAAGCCGGCGAGAUGCUCGCGUGCUUAAAAGCAAGCACAGUCAGAUGUUUUUGUGGCACUGAACCCACAGUUCAUUUCCUCUACUGUUGCUAUGGUGUUUUUAAAGACGAAAGAGAAACAAAGGAAAACACAAUUGUGCAGUCUACAUUAGCUAAGGCAAGGAAAAUAAAUGGAGCUACUUUUCACCCUAUUUUUAUUUUUUUUUAAUUAAAUCUUCAGUAUGGCUUGACUUCAAAAGGCUUUGCAGUGUUGCCUGGAAAAUGCUUAGUGAACCGAUGCUGGUGUAUCGUGUUCUCCGUGUUGUACGAAUGUAUUCUUUUGAGAAAUGUAAUCCCUGUGCCCUGACUUUACAAGUUUUUAAGAAGCAAUGCUCUCCAACCUCAUUCCCAAUUCCUUCAUCUUUAUCUCUUUAAAAAUGUUUGUAUGUGGUUAAUAUAACUUCUUAUUUGUGUUUAAAGCACUGUUGAAGAGAGCAAACUCAAUGCAUGUCCGUGCACCAACAACCUCACAAGUUCUUCUGCUCUGCUGAGGUUAACUGAAACAGCUAGAAACAGAGUUUCUCACCAGCGAUACCACAAGAAUUGCUUUGCUGUGUCUACUUGAGCAUUGCAGAACAAAAAGCAGUGAAGAUCAAAACAAGUUAAUGAAAAAGAAAACAAUUGCAUGUAAUAAAUGGGAAGAGGCCAGAACUGUCAGUUCAUUUCAACUGAAUAUAAUGAGGAGUGAUGAAAAAAACGGCAGAGGAACCAGAGAAGUCAGUAGAAAAUUAGAAGCCGGUGGUCUCCUACUGAUCCAUAUUUUAAUUCUCUGGUAAGAGACUUGCAUUUGCAGUGUGCUUCAGAAAUCAGGACGUUGCAAUAUGGUAAACCUACACAAGUGCCCUGCAAUGAUGCUUCUUAUUGAAGAAAAGCCUUCAUGUAGGGAUGUCAAAGCCUUCCCAAGGGCAGGAUGCUGUUAAUGCUGCUCUUAGGCUGUAGAACAGCAGUUUGUCUUCUGGAAGAGUCAGAGAGCAAGAGGUGGUUACACGAGGAGAUGUGGUGGGACAGCCGUGCUGUUCUUGUGUCUGGGACCCACGUCAGUUUCCAGUGAAUCUGCGGAGUCCAAAAUUGCUGCAGCACAGCCUUGUACACAUUUGUGUGCUCUUAACCUUGGAGCAGCUGGAGGUAAGGGAAAUCUCCAGGGCCUGGGGAAAACAUGGGGAAACAGGCAAGCAAAAGCCUGGUGGUGGCUUAAGUACUGCACAGAGCCCUCAUCUCACUGACGGGCCAGUUUCUUACAGCACUUGAGUUCCAGUCCGAUUCGGAGAUAGGUAGGAUUUACCUUUUUAAUACUAUUCAUUUUCAAAGAACUUGUUCAUACAAGAGCUAUCCGCUGCUUCAAACACCGAGAAUGUGAUUGUGUUUUCAGACGCCCUGCAAGAGAAGUGUCCUUCAAGAAAACUGUGUUCUGAAAGGCUUUUGAGUUACUGUGUGUGCCACAGAGAUGGAUUCACUCGCUGACGCCGGCCUCAGUGCGCACAGUGCCCUGGGCUCAUGCUGUCCCAGGAGCGUACAGUGAUGAAGGGAGCACGCAGCUCCCAGCUGAAUCUAGGCAGGGCUGCAAAGGCUGUUUUGGCAGUCAGGGUGAGGCUGUAAGCCUAACACUGGGGGGAUGGCAGCAGAGAUGUGCACUGACUGAGAGGUGGGAAUAGAGACAAGUAGUGGCAACAGCAAAUGCACGGGAUGGUGAUGAGACAGAAGCACAGUGGCUGAGGCUGGAGGCACCUCUGGAGGUGGUCUAAGUCCCUCUCAAGCUCACAGCAGCAGCAGCUGGAGCAGGCUGCUCAAAGCUGUGUGGAGUUGUGCUUUUAAUAUCUCCAAGGAAGAAAUGUCCACAGCUUCCUGGGCAGUGUGUGACAGUGUUUUAUCCCCUUCACCAUACAUAAGCUUUUCCUUUUGUUUCUAUGGAAGCAGUUCCCUGUAGUUUGAUUUGUGCCCAUGACUCUUAUCUUUUCACUGGACACCACUGAGAAGAGUCUGGCUCUUCUACUCCUUCUCCUACCAGGUAGGUAAAGACUGAGCAGUUUCCUCCAGAACCCUUUUUUCUCCAGGCUGAACAGUCCCAGAUCCCUCAGCCUUUCCUCAGCAGAGAGAUGUUCCAGUCACUUCUUCAUCUUCAUGGCCUUUUGCUGGACUCAACCCAGUACAUCCAUGACUCUCUGGCCCUGAGAAGCCCAGGACUGGACCCAGCAUUCCAGACUCCAUCAUCACCCUGUUCAUCCAAGCCUGGACAUGCUAUAACAACAAAUCAAAGGACAAGACCUGCAAACUGAAAUGAAUGAUCCCAUUCCUCACUUUUCCCUUGUUAUUGUUGUACUGCUGGUUUGUUUUACAGCUGUGCCUCGGGGCAUCUGUCAGGGCACGGAUCUGGCCCCAUGUGCAUGCAACAGGCAAAUUCCAGGAGCCUCAGUGGAACAAAAAGCCAGUGUCACAGCUGCCACCAGACCUGAGUUUUUACAGCACUUCUAUUACCACACCUGAUCCUGUGCACAGCCAUCAGCAAAGUCAAUGGCAACUCCUUGCACAAAGGCCCAGGCUGUGCAGUCUGACUCAAGCACCAAUGGGGCAAUCCUCUGUUCAGGGACUGGGAAGGGAGGGGGUGAGCACUACUUGAGCUGAAUACCCUGCGUCAGCUCUGAGGCCCUGCCAGCUAAAAUCUUUCAUUAAUUCAAACUUUAAAUAGCUGCAGCAGCAUUUAGUGCACAAAGCACCAUGCUUGCGCCCAGCCGUGGGCUGCUGCAGGUGUAUCUGUCUCCCAGCUGUGCUGCCAUGCUCACAGCUUUCCUAUGACCCAGGCCUUGUGUCAGCAGAGACCCUGCAGCCCGCUCUGUACAGUCUCCUGGGGUUAGAGGCAGGGAGCACUCAUGCCCUUUGUUCCCCGGGUAAAUUCUAUUUCCCUUUCCAUUGUGCCGUGCUGGUUGUCAACGAAACGUUACACCGGGGAUAAGGGAAUUCGACAAAGAAACUUUGGUGAAGGCUGGCAAAUUACAGUCCUUUACUUGUGAAUGGGGGUGUCAUAAGAGAUGGGUUGAAGCAAUGCACCUGGUGUAAAUAAUUACAUGCUUGCAAUGGGGGGAAAGGGCUGAAGGCAAGCUAAAUGCCAGGGGAUUGUUUGGGAUGGCAAAGGAAGAACUUUUCAUGCGGGAAGAACAAAUGCACUGCUCAGGAGUCUGCUGGUGACAGAGUGAUUACUCUUUUCUUCCUCAUUCUUUCCCUUACUUUUAGGGUUUUGUUCAUCCUCCAACACUUCCCCUUGUUGUUCUUGUUCCCAGAGCAACACCUGGAGGCAGGGGCUGUCUUAGGAGAGGAACCCCACUGCGGCACAUUCCAGCCAAGAUUGUAUUUCAAAUCACCUGGGUCUUCGUUCCUUCCAACACCCCUUUGAUCUACAAACUGCUCCUUAAAUGACUGAAACAGGAACUUGAGCCCCGGUGAAUUGGCUUUACCAGCCCUCUGAGACGAAUUUCUUAGACCUGCAGCAACUGUGAUGUGGUCAGUGAAUGUUUUAAGUGGUGGUGGUGGUCCUUGCAUGGAGAUGUGGAAAGAAGCUGAGCUUGCCACAACGGAAGCUCUCUUUGUGGUUAUUUCCAAUGCCUUCUGUAACGCUGAUUUGGGUAAAAUAUGAAAUACAGAAAGAUCUUAUCUUGGGAGUGUUGGUACUUGAACAACUCCAGCCCACCUUGCAAUCCUGCAUGUCCAAAAGAGAUCACGAAGAGCAGCUAUGAUGCUUCCAUGACUCUUCCAGGCACCGUAGUACAGGGAGAGCACCCAGAGGCCAACGCACAAGGCUGAGGUUCGCUGUGCAGUGGUGGAGCGGUGAAGGUGAUGGUUAACAAGCCUCUGUGCUUGGGCGUGGGGAAACCCGCUGUGCAUUACUGCUCUUCCAGAUGAAUUUUUUGACCCUGAAAUGAACAACAUGACAGAACAGGCAUUGUAGAGAUAAGACUAACGAAGGGAGGUAACUCAGCCCAUUAGCAAGGAUUAUUUAUGACCCCUUAGACAAGAGAAAUGUAAAUUCUGAAACAAAACCCUUAAUUUCCAUCUUGCCUUCUUUUCUUUGUGUGCUUUGUUUUUCAGAUUUUAAUAUAAAACAUUGGAACAGCAACUGUCAUUGGACAGCUUCCCACUGCGUGAUUUUCACUCAUCCAUUUAUCUACCAUAGCUCCUCCCUCUCCCUCCCCCUGCCCUCUCCCCCAGAAAUCACUGUAACUCAAGGGAGAAGAGUCAGGAUUCUGGCAAAACCUGUUCCUAACUCAGCAAGUGAAAUCUUGCCCCACUGACACCACUGGCGCGUUGAUGUUGCCUUCAUUUGGGCCAGCACCUACAGCAGCUGGUGAAACCUGGGCAGCUCCCCGCUCACCAUAUUACUUAGCUCUUGUCAUGCUCUGUUUCUUAGUGUCUCCGUUACGAGUGACUAAUGCGGCAACACAGCGCUGAGCGUGGCUCUCCCUGGGGCUGGGGAUCUCGUGUCAGAGGGUACGAUCCAGCUCACAUUGAGAUGGAUACAUUAAAUCUUUUUACUCGAUGCCUUGUCAAGAAAAGCCAAUCUGCCCGCUAUCAAAUGCACUGAGAGCGCCCCAGCCCAUGGAAGUAGUUUUGUGUGCUCAUUGAUACAGAAUAGAUUGUCACUAAACCUUUCAGGCAUUGUUGUCAAGGUCGAUAAUGCUGAUCUAUUUUAGCACAACAGGGGGGUAAGAAAAGGAUUCUAUCAAGACAUGACCUUUAAAAGACCCUGUCUUUCGAGAUGCAAAACAAAAAAAAUGUGGAAAGGAUAUGAUGUUGUUACCUUCAGUCUGAUCUGAGCCGGCAGUAAUUACACACGUUAGCAAGAAAACAGCUCAGGAAAUGAUCUGGUUAGUAGCGAGAUGUUACGAACAACAAACAGCAUGCUAAUUUGAUGAGUUCACAUAAAGGCAUUUAAAGUACAUUUUUCCCGCUGUGAUUUUUAGCAUUCUGCUAGCUUCCUUUUCAUGGAACAUGUCCAACUGCACUCUUCUUGUGGCUGCCCUUGACCUUGCCUCCUGCUUAUGUUACCCGGUGCUGCUCUUCUGCUGGUUUCAAGCUGACCAUUAACAGGCUGCCCAGAGAGCUGUGAACGCCCCAUCCCUGGAGGUGCCCAAGGUCAUGGAUGAAGCCCUGGGUAGCCCGAGCUGGUGGGGGGCACCCAGCCCAUGGCAGGAGGUUGGAACUCAGUGAUCCCUUCCAACCCAACCAUUCUGUGAUUUGCUCUUUGCAGCCAUGCCUCUGCGCAGUCCUUAGGUCUGGAGUGGGAGCUCUGCACCACAGUGCCAUGAAGCAUUCAGGAGGCUCGUGCACGAGAUGCCCAUGCACUGGAUAAAGUCUUCAGCCACGGAGAAGCCCUACGAGCAGGAGCAGCUCAUGACAUCGCAGUGCAGUGUCACAGCUCUCUUCGACUUCCAGGCUGCCCCCAGGCCCCACAUCAGAUGCUGCUGGCUGCCCUGUUUUGUGAUGCAUGUUGCAGAGGGCUCCUUGCACAGCAGGAGAGCCAUGAGCUGCCUGAGGACUGCCACACCGCAGGCUGUGCUAUGGUCCUGCAGUCCUGCCCUACCUUGUGGCUGCAUGGGGCUUGCUGAAGUGCUGGGAGCUUCGUACCAUAUGAUGUGGUAUCCUACAACGAGUCGUCUCUGCUCCAUUUGCCAUGGCCAGUACGUUUCAGCACCAGCACCACUUCUGUCAUCUUUGUAAGCCAGGAGCUCCUGAUUUGGCGGCACCAGAGAUGUCCCUCAGCCAUGACAUUUGGGUGAGACAACUGACUUUUCACCAAACAAAAAGCAGUGUGAUGUGAUCUGGUUCCGCACCAAAAAAACCCUCACCAGUCAAUAGGAAACACUCACCCAGACCCACUGCUUCCAACAUGGACCUGAGCUACUUCAGAGGGCGUGAUGAAUAAGAACGAGGCAGGGGGUUGGAACUAGAUGAUCUUAAAGGCCCUUCCAACCCAAACCAUGCUAUGAUUCUAUGACUGUAUGAAGGAAAGACCCUUUCCAACACGCAGCCAAGGGGAAUCUGAAUCUCUGAUGGAGGAUUUUAGGAAAUCUUGGGUCUAUGGAGAUGUUCAAUGUGUUUGCAGAAACACUCCACCAGCAGCAGCACUCUUGAGCUCCUGAAGUUCUAAAUGAAGAGUUCCAGGAAAAAAAAACAAAGUCAAAUAGAGAUGCUACAGUUAAAAGUACACAGGACACACAGCUCAGAGCCCCAGAGCUCCACAGGGUCCCUGGGUAGAACUAGGAGAAUGACUUGGCUGCAAAAUCUCUCCCUUGAGACAAAUAUCAAAUAAAUGAACAAACAAGUGAUCACUCAUUCAGCUAUUUCAGAAAGUUAUGAAUCACAUAGGUUUAAUUAAGCUGUUCAUAAAAGGCCAUUUCAGCGCUAACAAAAUCGGGCAUUUAAAUUUCUGCACGAGUUUUUCAUGCUAAGUUUCCUUAACUGUAAAGAAAAAGAUUUCAAGGGACUUCGAAGAAGGCAAAAGUUUGCAUUUCAGUUUAAACUGAAGACUUAAUUCAAAGUACAAGUGAAACUUAGGUCUGCAGGUAAUGCAUUUGAU